ACUAGUAUUGAUAGUGAAGCUUCUUAGUUGAAUUUGGUUUGGCCCCAUUAAUUUUCCUUUUUCUGUCUUGAUCAGACUGUCGCGUGUUUUCAUAAAAACUAUUUUCUUGUACUUCCACCCCAACUCAAAGGGACAGGUGCCUGAAUUUAGAACACAGGGCUCAGAGGCUGCUCGUGGCAAGCUCCGUUUUGUGGACCGUUUUUCAGAAAUGUUGGAAUCAGCUGCUAGCUUCGGAAAGCUGGGAGACAUCACCCAGGUUCACAUCUGGCUUCCUUGAACAAACCUGAUGGGCCAACAACAUCUGUUCUUUCCAUGGCAGCAGUCAGGAGCCCUGGAAAGGAGCAGCCUAGCAGGCCAGGAAAUGAUGGUUCCUGAGCAAAGAGCUCUCAGCACAAGCCUUGCCCUGUCCAGGUGCAGGUCCGGGAGAGGCCGCUUACCCGCUGGUGUGUCUACUGGGUUCCUGUGUUCCUCCCCAAGGCCUGGCAGCUUCUCUCAGACCCCUGUGCCGUCCUGGAUGCCACGGGGCCCUUCAGUUAGGACGGAGCAACAGAAGCAAGAAUGGCACAAAGGAAGAUGUCGG